ACGCCGCGUGAGGGAUGACGGCCUUCGGGUUGUAAACCACUUUCGGUGGGGACGAAGCGCAAGUGACGGUACCCACUAAAGAAGCACCGGCCAACUACGUGCCAGCAGCCGCGGUAAUACGUAGGGUGCGAGCGUUGUCCGGAAUUAUUGGGCGUAAAGGGCUCGUAGGCGGUUUGUCGCGUCGGGAGUGAAAACGCCGUGCUUAACACGGCGCUUGCUUUCGAUACGGGCAGACUAGAGGUAUUCAGGGGAGAACGGAAUUCCUGGUGUAGCGGUGAAAUGCGCAGAUAUCAGGAGGAACACCGGUGGCGAAGGCGGUUCUCUGGGAAUGACCUGACGCUGAGGAGCGAAAGUGUGGGGAGCGAACAGGAUUAGAUACCCUGGUAGUCCACACCGUAAACGUUGGGCGCUAGGUGUGGGGUCCAUUCCACGGAUUCCGUGCCGCAGCUAACGCAUUAAGCGCCCCGCCUGGGGAGUACGGCCGCAAGGCUAAAACUCAAAGGAAUUGACGG
rnacentral:rRNA from 1 species